rnacentral:sRNA from 1 species
GAGCACUGAUUUGUGGGAAGGUCUCAAAGGACCAUUCCUUAAUGUCAUUAACUGUAUUCACAGCCUUGGCUAUUUGGCAAGUAACGCUGACUUUACUAAUGUUGUUUGCAACUCUAAAAGGCUUGGAACCGACUUGCUGACAGACUAAAGUCUUUGAGUUGUCCACAUGUUCUAUAAGCGAGAAGAUAUUUUUUUGCAACUUACAAAGGCCUAUAUAAAUGUCAAUCUUAAUUUAAUACAAUGACAUCUAAAUUAUCUUCAUA